rnacentral:rRNA from 1 species
CCUACGGGAGGCAGCAGUUUCGAAUCGUUCACAAUGGGGGCAACCCUGAUGGCGCGACGCCGCGUGGGGGAUGAAGGUCUUCGGAUUGUAAACUCCUGUCAUUGGGGACUAAUGGCCAGGCUCAUACCCUGGUUUGAAUUAACCCAAAGAGGAAGCAGUGGCUAACUCUGUGCCAGCAGCCGCGGUAAUACAGAGACUGCAAGCGUUACUCGGAUUCACUGGGCGUAAAGGGAGCGCAGGCGGACUCAUGUGUCGGACGUGAAAUACCGGGGCUUAACCCCGGUGCUGCGUCCGAAACUAUGAGUCUAGAGACUUGGAGGGGUAAGCGGAAUUCUUGGUGGAGCAGUGAAAUGCGUAGAUAUCAAGAGGAACACCAACGGCGAAGGCAGCUUACUGGACAAGAUCUGACGCUCAGGCUCGAAAGCGUGGGGAGCAAAAGGGAUUAGAUACCCCUGUAGUCCACGCUGUAAACGGUGCGCAUUAGGUCUUGGAGCUUUCGAACGCUCCAGGGCUCAAGCUAACGCGAUAAAUGCGCCGCCUGAGGACUUACGGCCGCAAGGCUAAAACUUAAAUUAAUUGACGG